rnacentral:rRNA from 1 species
GAUGAACGCUAGCGGGAGGCCUAACACAUGCAAGCCGAGCGGGAUUUGUUGGUUAGCUUGCUAACUAACAAUGAGAGCGGCGUACGGGUGCGUAGCACGUGUGCAACCUGCCUUUAUCUGGGGGAUAGCCUUUCGAAAGGAAGAUUAAUACCCCAUAACAUAUUGAUUGGCAUCAGUUAAUAUUGAAAGCUCCGGCGGAUAGAGAUGGGCACGCGUAAGAUUAGCUAGUUGGUGAGGUAACGGCUCACCAAGGCUGCGAUCUUUAGGGGGCCUGAGAGGGGGAUCCCCCACACUGGUACUGAGACACGGACCAGACUCCUACGGGAGGCAGCAGUGAGGAAUAUUGGACAAUGGGUGAGAGCCUGAUCCAGCCAUCCCGCGUGAAGGACUAAGGACCUAUGGGUUGUAAACUUCUUUUAUACAGGGAUAAACCUACUCUCGUGAGGGUAGCUGAAGGUACUGUAUGAAUAAGCACCGGCUAACUCCGUG